GUAAGGCUUCCGCAGAGGUCGCCUGUUUUCCUAGCAGUUCCCACGAGCCAGACCCAGGCUGCCACGCAGGGGCAGGGGUCAGGCGUGGAGGCAGACUGUCCCGAUGCCCCCAGCCAGGCCGCUGGCGAGUCUGGCGCCGCCGCCGGGGAGCAGGGGCCCUGAGCUCUCUCCUCAGCGUCUGGACAGGCCGAGGAGGCAGACGAGGCACAAGUGACAGCUGGGAAGGUUUAAUUGCUCCUCAGUGGCUUGGGAGCACCUCCCUCCUUUGCCAGCGAUCUGCAUUUCAAUGUAGGAAGAGUGGAAAGUAAAGUAGGAUUGCCGCUCAAAGGGGUUACAAUGAUUAAUCAUUUAAAAAGCAAGAUCUUAAUUACAGGCCGCAAUUUUUGCUAUUUAAGGAGUCCAUUAGUUGCCAGAAAGAAGAAGAAAAAAAUUAUCACAGUAGGCUGAUGUCCUGAUCCUCGGGCGACUAAAGCGUCGGAAGAUCCCGGUUCCUCGAGCUCUCCGCACCCUUCACAGUGAGCACACCUCUGUCCUUGGCACCAGCCCAGGAGGUCCAGCCCUGCACUCCACGUGAUGGACAGCACCUUUAUCCCAGAAGCCCCGGCAGGCAACAAAGGGGCCAUCCAGUGCAGAAGUUGAUCUGGGGGUGUCAGAUCCCACCCCAGCCCUGAACUGCAACUUGCGGGGGACACUACCAGAGCAACCGUUAACCUCAGUGACUGUAAAGUGUAAGCUGCACCCGGG
rnacentral:lncRNA from 1 species